rnacentral:rRNA from 1 species
AUUGAACGCUGGCGGCGUGCCUAACACAUGCAAGUCGAGCGGUAACAGGUGUAGCAAUACAUGCUGACGAGCGGCGAACGGGUGAGUAAUGCUUUGGAAUCUUCCCAGUAGUGGGGAAUAACCAGUCGAAAGAUUGGCUAAUACCGCAUACGUCUGUAAAGGGAAAGCGGGGGACUCGCCUCUUCUUCGGAAGAGAGGCCUCGCGCUAUUGGACGAGCCAAAGUCGGAUUAGCUAGUUGGUGGGGUAAGUGGCCUACCAAGGCGACAAUCCGUAGCUGGUCUGAGAGGACGACCAGCCACACCGGAACUGAGACACGGUCCGGACUCCUACGGGAGGCAGCAGUGGGGAAUAUUGGACAAUGGGGAAACCCGUGAUCCAGCGACGCCGCGUGUGUGAAG